CAGUGCAGACUUGGGGUUGUCAGAAACGGGUGGAGGACGGUGGAAGUGCUCAUCGGCCAGCACAGGAGCAAUUGGCUGCGGAGACACUGGGAGCACCGGGGAAGCCGGCUGAGUGCAAGGAGGACCCGGAGGAUGUGAUGGAGCAGGACAAGCCUCAUCGUUAAUAAUGCAGCUGAGCCGUGUCGGAAGUUAAGAAAAUGAACUGCGUGCUGGAAGGAAAAGGUUUGGGGGCACCCCGAGUAAGGAGGGGCGUGGGAGAGAUCGGCCCAGGGGCUCUAGAGAGAACUGGGGUAGGAGGCUGCCAGCCGACCGGGCGGGUUUGUGAAGGCCGGGUGCUGGCGUGAUGGCAGAAUGCUUCUUAAAUGCAACGUCAAAACGUGACAUUGUGACAGGCCAUAGCAGAAAUGGCAGGCAGAGGAGAAACCUGUCCAGGCACUAAGUCAAUGGGUUCCCCAAGGGUGCCGGACAGCACUUGGUUCCACCCAUUUCUGUAGGGGGAAAUGGGCCAGAGACGGCAGUUCCCUCCCAGACCCUGCACAAAGCUAGUUGGACGAAGUGUGGGUAUUUCCGGAGUUCAUUGUAUUACAAAUGCAAAUGGGUCUGGAGUCUGGGGGGAUGGGACGUGAUUCUUCUGGGGGAGACGUGACUCCAGCAAACCCUGGGAAGGGUCAGGACCAUCACAGGACACUUGUAAAACGACCGACCAGCCAAGGCGGGGAUGCAAAUUCCCACCUCUGCCCCCAGCCUUUCGAAGCGACACCCUGGGGAGCGAGACACUGGCUGCGAAUGACCUGUUCCCAGAUCGAGGGACCGGCCUGCGGCACUCACAGAUUCCCAGGGGUCAUGUUCGCAGCAGAAGCUGUGCUGAGCUUGGAAGCACUGAAAAGCCCGUGGGUGGGUUUGACGGGCUGCACCCCGGCCGGAGCCCUGGCUGGAGUCAGGGGAGGGAUCCCUGCUUCCUGAUCGGCGAAGAUGACAGAGUCUAGGAGGGCAGAGGUUGGAGCACCAUGGGGGCCCAUGCCAAGAACUGGAAAAAUAAGUCACUGGGAAUCAGCUUCCUGGGCAGCUUCUCCAAAACAGCCCCUGACAACACCACCCUGACCGUUGCCAAGAGCCUGAUCCAAUGUGCUGUCUCCGGGGGCUUCCUGAGUGAAAGCUACACCCUGAAGGGGCAUCGCGACGUGAAGUCAACCCAAUGCCCUGGGGACGCCCUCUACGAGGCCAUAAGCCAGUGGCCUGAGUUUGAAGCCUGAGUCCCUGCAGCCUCGGGGCAGCCCCUGCACCCAUCGCUGACCCUGCCCACAGCUUCUGCCUGCUCGAGCAACACCUCUGCCCCCCAGCAGGGGGCAGCCUCCCGCUUCUCGCCCACCUGCUGCCUCCUAGGGCCCGGAGAGCAGGGCUCUGAGAGUUGGGGUUACGCUCCCGUCUCCCCUGGGCUCUGCUGCCCCCCCCCCCCCGGGGCUCAGAUUUCUAAUGGCACCUGGGAGCCACCUGCCUCCCCCAGGCUGCUUCCUUUGGCAGAUGCCAGGCCUAGCCCCUCGCUCCUGCCCGCAAUGGGCAUGUCAGCUUAGCCCAGGUCCACACACAGCCAGGCCCAGGGUCUUACAGCGUCCAGGGGGGUGGGGCCAAGCCUCAGCCAAGCUCUGUGGCGACGGCCCUGCCAAUCCUUGGCCAGCUCAGGAAACGUCGCCUCCAUUCCCGUGUGAAACGUCUGAGCAAUUAUCAAUUCCAGAGUCAAAUCCGCCUCUGCCCCCAGCCCCCCUGAGAUCUGCAGCGAAGGUUUCAUCUGGAAUCCCCCAGAAAUCGGUCGCUAUUUAACCCCCCCACAAAGGGAACCCAAGUGUCCCCAAGCCCUGACACUCGGCUCUGCCUGGCCCCCGCAGGGUCUGGCUAUCAAAGCUUUCAGCCCUCGCCCCUUUCGCCCCAACAAUCCAUUCCCGUGAGCCUCUCUCACCGAGGGGGGCAAAGUGUUUGGAUCUUCACACAGCAGGUGCCUGGGAAGUAGCCGUCGGGUGGGUCACAGAGUCCCACAAAGGGGUUUUUAAUUCAAGUGCAAUUUGCCUUUAACCCAGUGCCCCUGCGGCUUAGCGCUUGCUUUGCUUGGGAGCUACUGAGCAGUGAAAAUAAACCAGCUUCUAGCACAUGAAAAGUUGAAGCGCCGGGAAUCAUUUCAUCUCCUGUUAAACCAUAACCACCACCACCCUGCCGCUG